UCGGGCCUACGGGGGGCAGCAGUGGGGAAUAUUGCACAAUGGGGGAAACCCUGAUGCAGCGACGCCGCGUGGAGGAAGAAGGUCUUCGGAUUGUAAACUCCUGUCCUUGGGGACGAUAAUGACGGUACCCAAGGAGGAAGCACCGGCUAACUACGUGCCAGCAGCCGCGGUAAAACGUAGGGGGCAAGCGUUAUCCGGAUUUGCUGGGUGUAAAGGGGGCGCAGACGGCGAUGCAAGCCAGGAGUGAAAGCCCGGGGCCCAACCCCGGGACUGCUCUUGGAACUGCGUGGCUAGAGU
rnacentral:rRNA from 1 species